AAUAAGUGGCAAAGUAAACAAAGUUAAAAAUGAACAAAAUGAUUAAAAAUUAGCAGAAAUUAACAAAAUAAUCAUGAAAAUAAGCAGAAAACAAGCACAUAAAUAAACAAGAUCAUUAAUAAAUUGUAUUUCAGCAACAAAUUAAUUAAAACUGAUGAAAUAAUGUGAUUUGAUUUGUUUUUGCUCCAAAAUACCCUGAAAAUUCACUUAUGUAAUCAGAGGUUUUCCACAAAACAUGGUCUAGAUGUGGACAGAUCUAAAUGUGGAUCAUGGUCUUGGUGCAGAUGUGGAUCAUGGUCUUUCGUGCAGGGGGCCAAAGCGGGCUAAAGUGGGCCAAAGCGGGUCAAAGUGGGUUAAAGUGGGCCAAAGCAGGUAAACCCUGGUCACCCUGCGUCUCUGUUCUGUCUCUGGUGUCGUCGUCGGUGGUCUACAGUGUUUCCAGUGUUGGUGUGGGUUCACUCUGUUCCUCCGGGGUCAGAGGUCAACGGAGGAGGCUCAGAUGGACAGAUGGACAGACGGACCGGACCUCACGCCUCCUCCGGCCUCUUGUUAAAGCCAUAGAACACAGAGCUGCACCUGAACGCACCACGGACUCCCCAGUGGAAACGCCAUCAGAUGGACAUGAUGUUUGGACCCACUGUGUCUCUGCUGGACCUGUGAUGUUCUGUUGAUGUUCUAGUGUUUAUGGAGACCAGGUCCAAAGGAGACCAACGGGGUCCACCAUGUGGGACAUGAGGACCUACAUUUAGAUCCAACAAAUGAACGCACAGUAACAAGAACAUUUUGUCUCAGACGCCGAAAUAAAUGAAAUAAGGAACAAAAAUAAUAAAUUUGUCAAUAACAUGAACAAAAUAAUCGAUAAAAUAAACAAAUAAACCUGAAUCCUGCAGCGGAUCAGUGAACUGGACUAAAUGUAGACCCUUGGCUCAGUUUGGGAAAGGGGUCAAAGGUUAAAAAGGCUGUUCAGUCCCUCAGAGACCUGGUCAGACCUGGUUAAGGAAGACCUGGUUCAACCUGGUCAGACCCACAUCAUGAAGACCUGGUUCAACCUGGUCAGACCCAGUUUAGCCAGACCCGGUCCAGCAUGAGUAGACCUGGUCCAUAACUGAGUUAAACCUGGUCCUUUGUGGUCCAUCCUGAUCAGAGCUGGUUCUUUGUGGUCCAUCCUGAUCAGACCUGGUCCUUCCUGGUCCUUUGUGGUCCAUCCUGGUCAGACUUGGUCCUCCCUGGUCCUUUGUGGUCCUCCCU